GAUACCCUGUUAUUAAAAUUGUAAAUAAAAUUAAUAGAGUAGUAUUAGUUAUUUUCUUGAAACUUAAAAAAUUUGGCGGUAUUUUAAUCUAGUCAGAGGAAUUUGUUUUAUAAUUGAUAAUCCACAAUAUAUCUUACUUAAAUUUGUUAAAUUUGUAUAUCGUCGUCAUAAGAAUAUCUUAAAAAAGUUAAAAAUUUUCUAAAAUUAUAAAUAUUAAUUAUGUCAGAUCAAGGUGCAGUUUAUGUUUAAGAAAAAAUGAAUUACAAUAAAUUUAUUUAAACGAAUAAAAAUUUGAAAUAUUUUUUUAAAGGUGGAUUUGAUAGUAAAAUAAUCUAUAUAAAUUAUUUGAUUUUAGUUCUAAAAUAUGUACAAAUCGCCCGUCACUCUCUGA
rnacentral:rRNA from 1 species